AUCAGAGUUAUGUCAUUUAUUGUAAUAUAUAAACAUAAACAUAACAAUUUCAUGUAUUACAUACCACAUCACCUCGGUAACGUCAAUUGGACCAACCGGGCUAUUUUUGGACCUUAGGAGGGGUAGAGUAGGCCAACGUGGAAAUCAACUGCCAGCGAGUGCGCUUGCUCCAGAUGCCCAUAUUCUUAGAUUGAAAUAAUACCUACAUAUCACGUAGAACCUAGACUGGAAACCAUCAUUGAAUAUAUGAUACCUUUACGAAGGCAAAGAAAAUAAAUUUUGCUUGAGUGUUAUAGCAAUGUAUUUGUAAUGUACUAUUGACGAAAAAUAUUGGAAACACUCCGACCAUCAUUAAUUUUUAUACAUUUGAAUAACCAAAAAAAAACAUUUUGAUUUCACAAUGUAAAUACUACUCCCCUUUCUGAAAAAUCUCAAGAAAUUUUGUUGAUCAACACCCA